UACGUAGGGUGCGAGCGUUGUCCGGAAUUAUUGGGCGUAAAGAGCUCGUAGGCGGUGUGUCGCGUCGGCCGUGAAAACCUGCAGCUUAACUGUGGGCGUGCGGUCGAUACGGGCAUCACUGGAGUUCGGCAGGGGAGACUGGAAUUCCUGGUGUAGCGGUGAAAUGCGCAGAUAUCAGGAAGAACACCCGUGGCGAAGGCGGCUCUCUGGGACGGUACUGACGCUGAGGUGCGAAAGCGUGGGGAGCAAACAGG
rnacentral:rRNA from 1 species